GGAAGUCGCUUUCAUCAGACACUUCAUCAGCACAGCAAAGAAAGUGAUGGAGAAACUGAGCCUCUCAUUCUCAUCUUACAAGUAGGAAAAGGUGGAGGAGAACAGAAACUGGAGCAACCGGAACAGAACAUGUAGCUGAUGGGGACAGGAAACGCAGAAGAAGAGGCAGGAAAUACAUCAGACGUGACUCGCCAAUACAGCAGGAGGCCACAGCGGGGCAGACCAGAGACUGCAGAAAAGGAAGCAGCAGAAAAGAGGGCUGACUAGGCAGUUCUGUAUCGUGAUUGAGGGGAAACCCUCAUGACAGUCUCACUUACUCAACUAAUAUUGAUUGAACAUCCACUCUGUCUUGAACAUUUGUCUAAGUCCUAGGGGAUAAAUCAGUGAAGAAAACAAGAUAAAUAUUCCCCAUUUAUAAGACAAACGUCACAGAUGACAAGGGAUCAAAUUCUGAAUCUGCCACUUCUUUCUUGUGUGGCCUGGAGAAGUUAUUUAAUCAAAGCAAGUUUUAGUUUACCAGUCCAUCAACUGUUGUGAUAACGGUCUGUGUGUCACUGUGUAGCUGGAAGCCACAGAAACAUAAUGUGAAUCACUUGGCUCAGUGGACGGCACCUAAUUAUCCUCAAUAAACGUUAACUACACUAA